AAUAUUUGAAGCCAGCAGCAGGUGGUUGAAAUUUGGCACUUCAAAAAAUUAUCCCUAUAAUAAUAAUUGAAAAGACUUUUGUUUUAGUAAUUCCAAAAGAAAUUCAGAUAUCCAAAUAUCACUCCAGAUAUCUAAUGAUUACGGUAUACCGAGUGAACUGAGAGACUUUCAAUCUAAAUUCGUAUACGAAAUCUCUGCUGCCUCCGCCUCCGGUGGAAGAGAAAUAGAAGCAAGGAUGGUUGAAAACCCUUCACAAGCUGCAACUGCGCAAGCUGAGUCCUCUCAAGUUGUCAAACGCUACGCUCCUCCCAAUCAAAGGAACCGUUCUCUCAAUCGACGAAAAUCAGGAGGGUUUUAUGCGAGUGAUGGAGAGAAGAAUCAACCUUCCACUUCUAGAAACAAUCCUGUUACAGAUCAUGGGGAUGCAAGAAACAGCACUCUUCCAAAUGAUUACUCCAAACCAAAAUUAAUACCCUUAGAAGGGUUUUGUAGAAGUGAAGCUGCUCAGCUUUUAAGAGAUCGUGGGAGAGCUGUAAUGAAUCGCUACCAUGACACAUCAAUAGAUUUAUCUGGAAACAUGGCUGCAUAAUUUUAUAACUUGGUGAACUAACAUGGAAAAUGGUUCAGAAUUGAGGCUGACUGAUUGAUUAUAUAUUGGAAUUAGGCUGAUUGAUUGAUUAUUACUCACAUUCAUGCGGACAAAUGCAUAUUGGAAUUAGGCUGGCUGAUUGAUUAUUACUCACAUUGAACCAUAUUUCAGAAAGACCAGUUCUGUACUCGAGUGGUGCAUCAGCAUGGGGACAAUUUAGACUUCCACAUCAGAUGAUGUCUCCAGCAAACAGUAUUGGAGCUUCUGGCACACAGAUGGACUUCUUGGCCGAACUUCGCCGUAAAAUGCAGACUCCAAAUGCAACAUUUGACAACUAACAAUGAUGAUAGAGAUGAAAUUUAUGUUUGGACCUGGAGUUUAAAAAAAAAAAAAUUCUGAUUAUCGCUUGCCCUAGAGCACCAGUUGUAUGACUAAAUUAAUUUCGCUUGCCCUAGAGCACCAGUUGUAUGACUAAAUUAAUUUACCAAAAGCUGCCACUUGUUUGUUUCUGUGAUUUAUGUGGCAAAAACAGAGUCCGUAAUGUCAAGUUGCAUGGUCAGACCACUAGGCAUGUACUGCUUUUAUGUGACUUAUGUGAGAAAAACAUGGUUUACAUUGCAGUGACUUAUAAAACAAUGCUCAUGCUAAAAAGGAUAAUUGCUUUUGUA